rnacentral:lncRNA from 1 species
AUAGCAUUUUUAGUACUUCGCCUAUACAACCUGAGAGCCGGGGUGUAUUUUAGAUAUGAUACGGAUUCUUUGAUGCUGAGGGAGCAGAUGUUGAAAAAUUUAGCCUAUCUCAAGAAAAACCAGCCCGUGGAAGGGGUUGCAUUCUAGAAUAUUUGAAGGGGUUCUUGGUGCUUAUAAACACGGUGUUGGUAGAGUUUAAAAUGUAUUUCGAUCCAGCACUUCCCCUGUACAACCUGAGGGCCAUUGAAUAUUUUGGGAUAUUAGGAAGGUUCUUUGCUGCUCAGGGAAGGGGCAGAGGAUAAAUUUAACUUGACUCGGGUUCAGCAGUUCACCUAAAAAUCCCUGGCCAGGGGUGUAUUCUGGCAUAUUAGCCGGACCUCAAUAAAAUGUAUACCUGCAUUUUACCUGUAAAAAGUGGUACUGGGUGGGCAAAAACUCUUCACGGGUAAUAUUUGAUCAAAAGAAUCCGGGUUGUUCUUUUCUGAGGCGGGUACCCGUUUAACUCCAUUUAUGUUUGAAAACGGUAGCAUAUCCUAUUGUGGACAAUAAAAGAAGAGCUAUUUGUGAGGAAGAGUGUGCUCCUUUUUCAACUUGUCAAGGCAUGGAGCUGGAUAGACCUGGAAGUAGUAUGAAGAAUUAUUUGAUUAUUAUGAAUGGAGUCCAGAUUAUGAUUUUAUUGAACAAAGCCUCAUAAUGCAAUCAUCGAAGGAUAAUGAAAACGUCUAUAAAUCUAUGGAUGAACCGUCAACUAUCGAGAAAAAAUGGAGUUCUUUUUUAGCAGUAUACCCAAAGUCAGGAUCCUCUAUUGUAUUUGGAUUUUUUACAGGAACUAAGAUGUACAAAAAGGUGGUUUCUAAUCUUUGAGAAAAAAAAAAUAAUAAUAAUAACAGCUUGUGGGAGCAGUACCUCUAAUAUGGUUUCUUCAUAUUGCGAAGUUUAGUAAAGAGUCUAACAAGCUUCCAAAUAAAUCAGAAUGCAUGUGUCGUGUUAGAAAGUCAUCCAACCCUCUAAAAAAGUAAUUAGACAAUCUUGUUUUAGAAAUGAUUAUCAAAGAUCUACGCCGUUUCUCUUGUGUUGAAGAUUCUGAAUUCCAAAAUUUGGUCGCCAAUUUUGAUUUAGGAUAUGUUUUGCCUAAUAGAAAGAUACUUAGUAAUAAAUUACUCCUUCUUAAGUUUUACAGAAUGAAGACUCCUCUCAUGGGUAAAUUAGCAACUGCAGAACAGAUUUCCUUCACUACAGAUAUUUGGACUUCCUGUAACAAUACCACUUAUAUUAUUUUGAGUGCACAUUUCAUCAAUCAUAUGCAAAAUCCAGGUCAAACUUGUUCUUGUCUUCAGCAGAGAUGCCUUACUUACCAUUCAUUCCUUUAUGACCCCCUAUAAUGCACAUAAUAUUCACUCUUUCAUUGAAAAUACUAUCCAUCAAGGAAAAAGUUGUUGCUAUCACAACCGACAAUGCACAUGUUAUGAUUCGGGCUGUUAAAAAUACCAACGUCAAGCAUGUUAACUGCUUUGCCUACUCUCUUAAUUUGGUAACUCAGGAGGGGAGGAAGAAUAAUACUGCAUUGGAUGACCCUAGGAAUAAAGUUAAGUCAAUUGUAACAUUGACAAGACGAAUCACAAAUGUAAAGCGAGUUCUUCAUUAAGCUUAAUGUGUAAUUAUUUUGUAUUAUUGUUUAUUUUAUGAUUAAAUAGCUAUAAAAUAUAUAACAAGAUAAAUGAUAUAAUACUUUUUCAUUGAUUACCCGUGGGUAAUAAAAAAUACUCGAAAAUCAAUGAACCUCUUUUAAGUUUUCGAAUUAUUACCUGGGUUUACUCGGGUCAAAGAUUCAUUACCCACAAUUACCCGUUCACCAAAAAAUACCCGAAACCCAUCCCUAAUUUAUAUACUUAUACUCAUUUCACUUAAAUGAGAAUAAUUAUUAAAAUUUUACAGUCUAUAUAUUUUUUUAUAUAUAUUUAGCAAUAGAGUUCUGAAUUGAUUUAAAUUUCUUUAUGUCUCGGGCAACGCCGGGAAAAUCUACUCUAGUACUUUAAUAAAAUAUAAAUAAAUAUAAAUAAUAAAUCAUUCUAAUUUAGGGUGGCCAUCGACAGCUCUCAACAUAUAAACAUCUUGAGCCUAAAUGAGGAAAUCAGAAUGUAUUAUUUAUUUAAAAAGCCAAAUAUUUCAAAGACAGAUUUGAAUUAAUUAUAUAGUUGUUCUAUUCAAAAUUGUGGGAUGAGUUCAAA